GACGAACGCUGGCGGCGUGCUUAACACAUGCAAGUCGAACGGAAAGGCCCUGCUUUUGUGGCGUGCACGAUUGGCGAACGCGUGAGUAACACAUGAGUAACCUGCCCUUGACUUUCGGAUAACUUCAGGAAACUGGGGCUAAUACCGGAUAGGAGCUCCUGCUGCAUGGUGGGGGUUGGAAAGUUUCGGCGGUUGGGGCUGGAUUCGCGGCUUAUCAGCUGGUUUGUGGGGUAGUGGCUGACCAAGGCUUUGACGGGUAGCCGGCCUGAGAGGGGGAACGGGGACAUGGGGACUGAGAGACGGCGCAGACUGCAACGGGAGGCAGUAGUGGGGAAUAUUGCACAACGGGCGGAAGCCUGAUGCAGAAACGCCGCGUGCGGGAUGACGGCUUUCGGGGUGUAAACCGCUGUCGCCGGUGACGAAGAGGGAGUGACGGUAAUGGGUAAAGAAGCACCGGCUAACUACGUG
rnacentral:rRNA from 1 species